rnacentral:rRNA from 1 species
AACGCGAAGAACCUUACCUGGGCUCGAAAUGUAGAGGACCGCGUAAGAGAUUACGUUUCCCGAAAGGGUCUCUAUAUAGGUGCUGCAUGGCUGUCGUCAGCUCGUGCCGUGAGGUGUUUGGUUAAGUCCAGCAACGAGCGCAACCCUUAUCGUUAGUUGCCAGCGCGUAAUGGCGGGAACUCUAACGAGACUGCCUAGGUUAACUAGGAGGAAGGUGAGGAUGACGUCAAGUCCGCAUGGCCUUUAUGUCCAGGGCUACACACGUGCUACAAUGGUCGGUACAGAAGGCAGCAAAGUCGUAAGAUGGAGCAAAUCCCACAAAACCGAUCUCAGUUCAGAUUGGAGUCUGCAACUCGACUCCAUGAAGUUGGAAUUGCUAGUAAUGGCGUGUCAGCAACAACGCCGUGAAUACGUUCCCGGGCCUUGUACACACCGCAUAC